AUUGAACGCUGGCGGCAGGCCUAACACAUGCAAGUCGAACGAGUGGCGGAAGGGUGAGUAAUGACUGGGAAACUGACUGGGGGAGGGGGAUCACUAAUGGACGCGGUAACUAAUACCGCCUAGCAGAGCAUGUGUCCGGAUGGGAUUAGCUAGUAGGUGGGGCAAAGGCCUACCUAGGCGACGAUCCCUAGCUGGUCUGAGAGGAUGACCAGCCACACUGGAACUGAGACACGGUCCAGACUCCUACGGGAGGCAGCAGUGGGGAAUAGUGGACAAUGGGCGCAAGCCUGAUGCAGCCAUGCCGCGUGUAUGAAGAAGGCCUUCGGGUUGUAAAGUACUUUAAGCGGGGAGGCGUUACCCGCAGAAGAAGCACCGGCUAACUCCGUGCCAGCAGCCGCGGUAAUAC
rnacentral:rRNA from 1 species